GAGGAAUAUUGGUCAAUGGGCGCGAGCCUGAACCAGCCAAGUAGCGUGAAGGAUGAAGGUCCUAUGGAUUGUAAACUUCUUUUAUAGCAGAAUAAAGUGACCCACGUGUGGGUUUUUGUAUGUAUGCUAUGAAUAAGGAUCGGCUAACUCCGUGCCAGCAGCCGCGGUAAUACGGAGGAUCCGAGCGUUAUCCGGAUUUAUUGGGUUUAAAGGGUGCGUAGGCGGAAAGAUAAGUCAGCCUGUGAAAGUUUGUGGCUCAACCGUAAAAUUGCAGUUGAUACUGUUUUUCUUGAGUGUACGUAAGGUAGGCGGAAUUCGUGGUGUAGCGGUGAAAUGCUUAGAUAUCACGAAGAACUCCGAUUGCGAAGGCAGCUUACCGGGGUACAACUGACGCUGAUGCACGAAAGUGUGGGUAUCAAACA
rnacentral:rRNA from 1 species